AAUCAAAAUUUAAUAUGGCUGACGGUAAGAACAAAGAAAAGUUUAAAGGAACAAACAUUUAGAGCAACAUGUCAAUUAAAGCGACUACUGCAGUUGCCGAAAUAAGAAAAGGAAUAAUGACUUUAUUAAAAUACGCACUCGACAGAUUGAAUGGUGGUGGUGGGCGCGUAAAAGACGGUUCACUAGAUGUAUAACAUUUUUUCCUAAUUGUUCUACAACUAUUGUUAAAUAAAACAUUUUUUUUUUAAACAUUUUACUCUAUUUGGAUUGUGUUUAAAGUCCCUUGAAGCAAUUUAGUUGUAUCUGAUUAAUUUACUUGAAAUAUAAUAUUCUUUGCUCAAA